AGUGAACGCUGGCGGUAGGCCUAACACAUGCAAGUCGAACGGCAGCACAGGAGAGCUUGCUCUCUGGGUGGCGAGUGGCGGACGGGUGAGGAAUACAUCGGAAUCUACUCUGUCGUGGGGGAUAACGUAGGGAAACUUACGCUAAUACCGCAUACGACCUACGGGUGAAAGCAGGGGAUCUUCGGACCUUGCGCGAUUGAAUGAGCCGAUGUCGGAUUAGCUAGUUGGCGGGGUAAAGGCCCACCAAGGCGACGAUCCGUAGCUGGUCUGAGAGGAUGAUCGGCCACACUGGAACUGAGACACGGUCCAGACUCCUACGAGAGGCAGCAGUGGGGAAUAUUGGACAAUGGGCGCAAGCCUGAUCCAGCCAUACCGCGUGGGUGAAGAAGGCCUUCGGGUUGUAAAGCCCUUUUGUUGGGAAAGAAAUCCAGCUGGCUAAUACCCGGUUGGGAUGACGGUACCCAAAGAAUAAGCACCGGCUAACUUCGUGCCAGCAGCCGCAGUAA
rnacentral:rRNA from 1 species